AUGCUCACUUCUGCAGCACAUACACUGAAAUUGGAAUGAUACAGAGAUUAGCAUGGCCCCUGUGCAAGGAUGACAUUCAAACUGGUGAAGUGUUCCAUAUUUUU